AAGCGCUUGCAAUCAGACUUGCCCGCGGUUGCUCAGCCGGUCUUCUGACCGGUGCACUCUUCCGCGGUCAGGCCAGCAUCAGUUUGGGCGGUCGGAUAAAGGCUUGGGGAAUGUGGCUCCCUCGGGAGUGUUAUAGCCCCUUGUGUAAUGCGGCCCGCCUGGACUGAGGUCCGCGCUUCGGCUAGGAUGCUGGCGUAAUGGUUGUAAGCGG
rnacentral:rRNA from 1 species